UACGGGGGGGGCAAGCGUUGUUCGGAAUUACUGGGCGUAAAGGGCACGUAGGCGGCCGCUUAAGUCAGACGUGAAAUCCCUCGGCUCAACCGGGGCACUGCGUCUGAGACUGAAUGGCUUGAGAUUGGGAGAGGGAUGCGGAAUUCCAGGUGUAGCGGUGAAAUGCGUAGAUAUCUGGAGGAACACCGGUGGCGAAGGCGGCAUCCUGGACCAACACUGACACUGAGGAGCGAAAGCCAGGGGAGCAAACAGG
rnacentral:rRNA from 1 species